rnacentral:tRNA from 1 species
UUUAAUAAUUUAAAUAAAAUAUUGGUUUUGUAAACCAAAAAUGAACAAAUCUUUCUUAAAACU